UACAGAGGGUGCAAGCGUUGUUCGGAAUCAUUGGGCGUAAAGCGCACGUAGGCGGCCUAUCAAGUCGGGUGUGAAAGCCUGGGGCUCAACCCCAGAAGUGCAUUCGAAACUGGUAGGCUUGAGUGUCGGAGAGGGUGGUGGAAUUCCGAGUGUAGAGGUGAAAUUCGUAGAUAUUCGGAGGAACACCAGUGGCGAAGGCGACCUUCUGGACAGUGACUGACGCUGAGACGCGAAAGCGUGGGGAGCAAACAGG
rnacentral:rRNA from 1 species